rnacentral:misc_RNA from 1 species
AAGUCGUAACAAGGUUUCCGUAGGUGAACCUGCGGAAGGAUCAUUAACACGUAUCCAACGUUAAACAACCCUGUGAACCUUCAUUCCUGCUCUCCUUGGGCUUGAGAAAGCAAUCUCUGGUAAAUCACGCGAACAGUUUGAUUCAGGGACCUCUUUCUCUUGCGCUUGGAUUCGAUGCGGUCGUCGCAAUUUUAGGCUUGGCUUCUGCGGGGCAGUUGGUGGGUGAAAGUGCCACCGAUUGCUUAAGCGGAUAACUGGCACUUCGCAUUAAGUGAAGGUCGGAUCAUCGAGUGUCCACACGGCCGAUGAACAAGUCUCUGAGCGCAAGCUCCAAUAUUAACCCCGUCUCUAAUCCUUAGCGGCCGCCUCGCGCCGUCGCUGUCGUGAAAGCUGAACAACUGUUAACAAUGGAUAUCUUGGUUCUC